CUCCGCUAGCCUUCGCUCUGAUUGGAGAAACUGGCUCCUAGACAGAGGGGGACCUUGAGUUACCGCGGACAGGCUGUCUGGCUGUAAUGGGGGGCCUAGCCCCGGGCACUCAACCGUCAGGAUUAGCUAAUUUUUAUACAAUAUAUUUAGGUGGCUAAUUAAAGACUGUGGCAGUCUGGUUAAGGUAGGCUUGUAUGGGGUUCUCUCCCCGCAAGUUUGCAUGUGAUUUUAUACCUACGCGAAUGCAGCACGGUUGCAGUAAAAUUGGAACUUCAGCAGCGCGAGCUAGCCCAGACCCCGCUAGCUGGCUAGCGAACGAGAAUUUGCUAGCGGAUCGGGGUUCAGUCCGUAUCACCUUAACCCUCAAACUGAAAUGAACACAGGCUAUGAUGAAUCCUCUGAGAGAAGACUGCAAGUCACUGCCAGUCAGACAAAAGGGGAUCAGCAACGAAACGGCUCACCAUUCCUUCCCUUCCUUCCUGGAAGAAACACCACACUGUCACCCUAAAGAGCAAAUGGAAAAAUGAAAUCUGUAUAUUUUAGUUUAAUAUUUUUUAUUUUUUUUGUUGGUGUGUGGGGGUAUAGAUGAGAUCAUGAUGACUCUGAAGUUUCAUACCUUCUCUCUCUUAUCUGUGAUUUAUUAACAUGUUCGAUAUACAGUAGCCUGUAAGGGACUCUAAGCCUUGAUGAUAUGUUUUGUAUUUCGGGAAGGAGAGGAAAAGACUCAGGAAUGUAAUAACACCGAUACCUGGCCGACUUGAGCAGAGUCUCCUACAUCUGAGACCUAGCCUGGUUCCGAGAUCUGUUUGUGCCGUCUUCCGUGACAUCGGCAAGAUGGCACAAACCGAUUUGGAACCAGGCGAGCAGAGGCCCAACAUCUGCGUUUUCAAACUCUACCGGUGGCCCCUUUUUUUGGGAGGGCUAAGUACAGUAACUGACAGACAGCAGCAUGUCAUCCACUUUUCCACAGAACACCGUUGAAACAGCUGCUGGAUCCUCCACGCAUGUUUUAACACUCAUUCAGUUCUAUCUGCUCUGUUCACCUCACACACUCAUCAGCAUUGAUCUCUGCUUAACACCGUGUGUAGUUAGGCCUAGACUACUUAUAUCAUUGUCUGUACAAACACACUUAAAAAAAUCUAAUCAAAUGUUUAUUUGUGACAUGCUUCAUGAACUACAGGUGUAGACUAACGGUAACAUUGUUUUUUUAAGAGUCUUUUUCGAAACAAUUCAGAGUUUAAAUCUUGAAAGGGAGUGGUUCCACCUCGACGCAUAACCAUUCAAACAUCGGGUUCGGUAUUUUACCUCUAAUAGUCCUAAUCCUUCAGCUCUUCAGGUGAUUCACAACCUUCAGCUCUCAAAAAUCCUCUGCUCAUUCUCAAAACUCAAAUACUUACAUACACUAAAGUAUUUACUGAGGCUAAGAGUCCCCCCCCCCUUUUUUUCCAUUUUAGAUUACUAAAUGCUUGGUAGUUCAUUCUUUUUUUUGUUUUGAAAUGUUUUUGUUUUAUUUUUUAUGUAGUAUUUUAAGUUUCGAAUGUUUACGUUGCAAACUAGUAUAAAACCAUGUGUAGACACCGUCAUGUACGCUGUGAUGUAUAGAAGUAGCUAUAGUAGAAAUGCAUUGUUUCCUUGUGGUAAGUGAGUGAGAUGCUGCCACGGAACUGAGACACUGAUGAUUGGUGCUAUUUUGGACUUUAAUCUGCUCCUUGGAAAGGUAGCUGAGAUGGGUUUUUAUUUUUUACUUUCAUGUUCUGAUUAAAGGAAGGGGUUGGUUCUUUGACGUCUGGUUGUUGUAACUCGGUCUGGAUUGGCUUUGUUUUUUUUCCCUUGUCGUUUUCUGUGCGGCUUUCUCAUUGGACUUAAGGAAAAUAUCAACUUCUUUCAUGGUAAUGUUUUACUAAAGGGGGGGGGGGGGUUAGGUGAGAAUAUUUAUGAGGAUACACCAUGUUGAUCGGAGCAAUCACAAAACUGCAAUCGUUAACACUAGUUACCCUUUAAAACUGAGAUGUGCAAUCAAAGGGAUACGUUGUAUCCAGUAGUACCCAGCACAAGUCACUUUUUUUUUAGAGAAUGUUUACAUUUUUUUUGUUUAUGUUCUGAUUGACAGACAAUCUUGAAACCAAGAGUGCAUUUUUCCCCUAACGUGUUUGUUUAACAGAUCUCCUAAGCGAUUUUUGCACACUUGUGAGUAAUGAAAUUGUCACGUAUAGAAGACGCCACAGAAUGUUAAUGUCAGAUAUCCGCUUCAAGUUGGUUAGCAUAAGUAAACACUGAAAGGUAAAGGUUAUUUUUAGAAAAUGGCACUUGAGAGAACUUGAUAGUUAAAUUAUAAAAUGAACACACACACUUUAAUGUGUGUCAAGGCCCAGCCUGUUAGGGUUUGGGUUCAGGGUUUCAACUUUUCUUCACCAGCUGGAUAUGACUUAAUGCUAUAGUGAGUCAUGUGUGAUUAUAUAAUGUUAGUUAACAUGAGUCUGGAAUCACAUGAUGCAUAUAAUCUUGUUUUAGAAAACCAUUUUCAGGGCACACAUGUAUUAUAAAGUGAUCUCCGUUUUAAAAAUAUAUAUAUUUUUCAUUGUCUUUGAAUUAUUUAGUAAAUGAAUUGUUGACUGAACCUUUAUAUUAAACAACUAAAACCCCAAAGUUUUUAAAACAUUUUAGCAAAAAAAAAUUGACAACAAUGGUUAAGGGCCUUGCUCAAGGGCACAUUGACAGAUUUUUCUACCAGUUGUCUCGGGGAUUCAAACCAGCAACCUUUCAGUUACUGGCCCAAUGCUCUUAACCACUAGGCUAUCUGCCACCCUAGCUAGAGAUUUAAAACAUCAAAGUUGUGUCGGUAUUUGCAGUUUUGUUUUUGCUUCCCUUUUUUAUAUUGUUAAAUAUUCUAAUUAAUAUAAUAAUAACCAACUUGAAAGCCCACUAGUUUUCUUUUGUCUUCCAUUCUCCCUCGAUAUUGGGACCUAUUGAACCAGCAUGUUCUGGUCUUGUUAAUUGCGUGCUCUCUUUUCGUCAUUGUGGUUUUUGUUUUGUGGAAAAAAAAAUAUAUAUAUAUCCUCUUGCAAUUCUUUCGACAUAGACUACUUAAUAUGAAUGCGGUUUUGUACAUAGCAAAGUGAAUAGCGUAGGCAGGAUGUGUUGCGUGAGGUAUUCAGUAUUUACCACUAAGGUUGAAAAAAUAUAUAUAUACAGUAUGCCAGCUUUGGAAAAAUGAUUAUAACGAUGCGCUUAACUUACAGUAUCCCAUGUACUUUACUUUGGCAAUUUUAGAAGUAGUGCAAUAAAUAUGCAAGCUUGUAAUUUGGUGUUUUA